AUUUUGGCUUCCGGUUCCCGUUGCGGUCUCUGCCACCGGGGUCUGGGAGGCGGCGCGUGGACCGGGGUGGAGGUGCACGGGACCGCGGGAGCGGAGUACUGCCGGCCACCACGGUUCUGACUCCCGCCGUCGGGGCGGGAGCUCGCUCGGUCCAAGGUCCCAGAGCCGGACCGCCGUCCUUGGACUUUGAGCGGAAUUCUCUUAGGAAUCUCUAACUUCAUUGAGGACACGGGUGUAAGCAGAAGCUGUGUUCUCAGCUCCAAGAGGCAAAUCACACGAAAGCCUAGGCAGGUGAAUUUCCUAAAGGCGAUGACAGUUGGAAAACCUGUGUUUUCAGCACGUGAUAAAUCUGCAUAGUCAGCAGACAAUGAAGAUUUGGCAUUCAAGAACUACUCAAAUACUUCUCGGUGAUAGCUAUCAUGAGCCUGCCUUGAUAGACCGAACUUGCUCAUAUUUAAAUAAUCAAGAUUGAGGAGAGAAUGUAACAACUUUUAAAAAUGUUUCUUAACCCGUAAAUACUUGGAGAAGAUGUGUUAUAUUGGACCAUGGACCUUUUUCUCGGGGAGGGGAGAAGAAAGCAAAAGUAAAGUUUAAAUUUAUAUUCAACCUUAA